AGCGAACGCUGGCGGCAGGCCUAACACAUGCAAGUCGAACGGAUCCUUCGGGAUUAGUGGCGGACGGGUGAGUAACACGUGGGAACGUGCCCUUUGGUUCGGAACAACUCAGGGAAACUUGAGCUAAUACCGGAUGUGCCCUUCGGGGGAAAGAUUUAUCGCCAUUGGAGCGACCCGCGUCUGAUUAGCUAGUUGGUGAGGUAAAGGCUCACCAAGGCGACGAUCAGUAGCUGGUCUGAGAGGAUGAUCAGCCACAUUGGGACUGAGACACGGCCCAAACUCCUACGGGAGGCAGCAGUGGGGAAUCUUGCGCAAUGGGCGAAAGCCUGACGCAGCCAUGCCGCGUGAAUGAUGAAGGCCUUAGGAUUGUAAAAUUCUUUCACCGGGGACGAUAAUGACGGUACCCGGAGAAGAAGCCCCGGCUAACUUCGUGCCAGCCGCCGCGGUAA
rnacentral:rRNA from 1 species